UAGGGAAUCUUCGGCAAUGGACGAAAGUCUGACCGAGCAACGCCGCGUGAGUGAAGAAGGUUUUCGGAUCGUAAAACUCUGUUGUUAGAGAAGAACAAGGACGUUAGUAACUGAACGUCCCCUGACGGUAUCUAACCAGAAAGCCACGGCUAACUACGUGCCAGCAGCCGCGGUAAUACGUAGGUGGCAAGCGUUGUCCGGAUUUAUUGGGCGUAAAGCGAGCGCAGGCGGUUUCUUAAGUCUGAUGUGAAAGCCCCCGGCUCAACCGGGGAGGGUCAUUGGAAAAUGGGAGACUUGGGUGCAGAAGAGGAGAGUGGAAUUCCAUGUGUAGCGGUGAAAUGCGUAGAUAUAUGGGGGAACACCAGUGGCGAAGGCGGCUCUCUGGUCUGUAACUGACGCUGAGGCUCGAAAGCGUGGGGAGCAAACAGG
rnacentral:rRNA from 1 species